rnacentral:rRNA from 1 species
UACGUAGGGUGCAGGCGUUAAUCGGAAUUACUGGGCGUAAAGCGUGCGUAGGCGGUUUGUUAAGACAGGUGUGAAAUCCCCGGGCUUAACCUGGGAACUGCGCUUGUUACUGGCAGACUUGAGUGUGGCAGAGGGGGGUGGAAUUCCAGGUGUAGCAGUGAAAUGCGUAGAUAUCGGAAGGAACAUCAGUGGCGAAAGCGACUUCCUGGACCAGUACCGACGUUCAGGCACGAAAGCGUGGGGAGCAAACAGG